AAUUCAAUCAGCUGGGCAUCUUGUUAAAAUGCAGAUUCUGAUUCCAAUGGUCUGGGGCGGGAUUUCAGAUUCUGCAUUUCUAACAAGUUCUCAGGUUAUGCUCAU
rnacentral:pre_miRNA from 1 species